ensembl:lncRNA
UAGAAAUAGCUUCAUCCCUCUCUCUUUUGUACUCUUGUUUCAGUCACAUACUUUCUCUCUCUUGCACUUUUGAGUAAGGGAGGCAACAGGAAGCACAAGCAGAAGGUGACAACAAUGUGAACUUGCCUAGGAAAACCCAUUAGGACCAUAUUGGUCCCCUUUUGGAAUACAAACCAACCAUGAGCAAUCUGGAGCAUUCCCAGCUUUAGUAGCUAUCAGCUGAGUUGGAAACUACAAGGACUCUGGAUUUGAGUGUGGUCUGAUCCACUGGGCAUACUCUUUUCAUAAGAGCAGAGAUUCUUGGAGAUGAUGACUGUGAUGAGAUCAUCAUAGAGCUGAUAGACAUUCCAAGUAAUGUCCUGGCUGACCAGGAGUUCCAGAAAUUAUCUCUGCCAGAAGGUGGGUAGCACAGCUAAAUCCACUGGAAUCAUGGUAGUCAAGGAAAUUAGCACUUCACUUGAGUUGCUUCCAGUCUAUAUACUUUGGUCCCUCCACCACAGCAUAGUCAAGAAAGCCAAUGAAGUACACAGUUGUCUGACUCUUUCUGACCCCAUCUGGAAUUUCCUCGGCAAAGAUAUUGGAGUGGUUCGUUAUUUCCUUCUCCAGCUCAUUUGACAGAUGAGGAAGCCAAAGGGAAUGAGGUUAAGUGACUUAUCCAUGGACAUAUUAUUAGUAAGCAUCUGAGGCCAGCUGAUUUGAACUAUGGAAGAUGAAUUUUCCUUAUUCUGCCUGGACACUCUGCCCCUUUGCUUCCCCAACUUUGUCUAUUACCCGUUUGGAAUUUCACUUCCUUUUCGCUGGGAGGCACAAUGGUAUAGGACAAUGGAGCCAAUCUCGACCAGAUAUAGACACCUGCAAUCUAGAGUGACUUAGAAAGUCACAAAUGAACAGUAUCGAUGCUGUAUUAUAUUUUAAAAAAUUGUUAAACAUUUCCUGAUCACAUUUUAAUCUGGUUCCAGUCACAUUUGGAGUUGUGCUGGCAGCAUGCAGCCUGUGUGGUGAACUUGACACCUCUGUUGCAGAAGGUAGUAUAUUGGACUUGGGGUUACAAAAACCGGAUUUUUUUAUUCAAAUAUUUUAUUUGCCCAAUUAUAUGUAAUAACAAUUUUCAACAUAUGUUUUCUAAAGUUACAAGAUCCAAAUUGUCUCCCCUACACUCUUCCCUCCCACCUCUUGAAGAUGGUAAGCAAUUUGAUCUGCGUUAUACAUGAGAAUGCAAAAUAUAUUUCCAUAUUGGUCAUUGAAAUACAGAUUUCUUAUCUUGCUUCCGACAUAAGUUAUUAUCAUAGUUCAAGUCAGUUAGCCUCUCUGAACCACUUGUUUUAAUCUGUUAAAUGGGGACAAUAAUAUCUGAAGUCUCUAUGAGGUGAGAACAUCAUAAAGUUAAAUUUGAUCCUAGUUCCAAAGGCCUUUGCAUGCUGUGGAAGUCAAUUACUAUCACUGGGGAUUGGGUAGGGGGACCUUUCAGUCACAUAAUGAACUUUGGGCCAUAUAUAUUAAGAUUGGAAUGUUUUUGGAACAACACAUCAAAGUUCCAUAGAACAUGUUUCCCAGUGACAGCUUCGGUUUAGGCAAGGAACUUCAUGUGGGCAAGGAACAUCCAUUUUGUCAUCUG